CUACGGGUGGCUGCAGUGAGGAAUCUUGCGCAAUGGGGGAAACCCUGACGCAGCGACGCCGCGUGGGUGAUGAAGGCCUUCGGGUCGUAAAGCCCUGUCGAGAGGGAAGAAUUGCAUUUAGGUUAAUAGCCUAAUUGUUUGACGGUACCUCCAAAGGAAGCACCGGAACUCCGUGCCAGCAGCCGCGGUAAUACGGAGGGUGCAAGCGUUGUUCGGAAUCACUGGGCGUAAAGGGCGUGUAGGCGGCUGAGUAAGUCAGGUGUGAAAUCCCUCGGCUCAACCGAGGAAGUGCAUUUGAUACUGCUCAUCUUGAGUACUGGAGAGGGAGAUGGAAUUCCCGGUGUAGUGGUGAAAUUCGUAGAUAUCGGGAGGAACACCAGUGGCGAAGGCGAUCUCCUGGACAGAUACUGACGCUAAGGCGCGAAAGCGUGGGGAGCAAACAGGAUUAGAUAACCCCGUAGUC
rnacentral:rRNA from 1 species